GUGCUCACUUUGGCAGCACAUAUACUAAAAUUGUAAUGAUACAGAGAUUAGCAUUGUCCCUGCACAGGGAUGACACAGAAAUUAGUGAAGUAUUCCCUAUUUUU